CUAGUGUUGAGUGUUCCUGCCUGUUCCUUUGUUUUCCCUGUUUUGGAUUAUUCCCUGUAUUUUUGGAUCGCCUUGUGUUUUCUGGAUUACCUUUGUUUGGACUUUGCCUUGAGCUCUAUGGAAGCUUGUGCAUGCGGGGCCUCGCAGAAAAACAGAAAGUGAGAAAUGCGUCCCUAAAAGCGUCAGUGAAACAGGUACCAAAGCUUGUGAAAAGUUUUGUGACUUGAUGUAGAAUUGUCGUUGCCAGAAAGACGUUUCGGUGUUCAGUCCCCACUACCAGACCCCAUCUAUUGAGCAAUAACCGUCAGAGUAACAGUAGCGCUGGAUACUGGAGAAAGAGGAGUUCAUGAGAAGCAAACCACAGAGAAGUCCAAAACGAGGGAGGAGAGACUGAAAAAUAAGAGUAAAGAAGCAAGUUGUGGACACUGUAAAACCUAAUUCUUUUCCAUUUGUGGAGGAUUUUGUGUUUACCUUUUGCUCCCUUUGCUGGAUUCCUAUUUUUGUUUGCUUUGAACAUGGAUUUGGUGAGAGAAAACUACUAUUUAUAACAUGUAAAUUAGCAAGCUUUCUUUGCUUUUCAAGCUGAAUGUGCAGUUCCUAGUUAUGUUAUGUAUCACACACACGGAGCCCCCUCAGCAGCCCAUCUGCCCCCACCCCCGCCAAAGCAGUCAACUUGGGGGAAACACUGCGCUGCUGUCAUACUCUUGCGUUCUAGAUGCUGUUUAAAAUUAAUAAUAAUGGAUUACUAUUGUAUCAUGUACUAUCUAGGAUUUUGGGGUUAUGCAAAUAUGAUAAUUUAUUUAAAAUGAAGCAUUGAAUUUUAAAAGUUCUAUAAAUUAAUGAUGUUUCCUAAGUUAAUGAGUAAUCAUGGUAAAUAAUCUCACUAUUGAUCAAAAGAAUCAAUAAUAAUUAUGAUUUUUGGCAGAAUCAAGCAGCCACUUCAUUUAAUUCAUUAAAUUAUGACAUUUGUCGUGUGAAACUGGGUUCUGACUUUUUUCUGUACAGGUUAAUGAUUUAUUCAAUAAUUUUUUUUGUUUGUUUUUUUACUCGUUAAAAAUAUGAAAUGGUAUUAAAUUGGGUUACGAGCACUUUAUGACUUGUUUAGGACUCAAAACUCAAAGAUUAGGACUCGAGACUUGACUGGUGACUUGUCGGUCUUGAAUUGAGAUUUGACUUGGACUUGCCUGUCUUCAAUGGUCUUGACUUGGGAUUUGAAUGCUAAGACUUGAGAUUUACUUGUGACUUAAAACAAUGACUUGUUCCCACCUCUGAGAAAAAGUGUGUCAGAUACGGGUCUGCAUCCACAAGACCAAUCUAAAGUUGAGGGAUUAGGACACUGAUUCAUACACCUGAACCGCGGCAGCACUGAAACUUUUUUAUUAUUUUGCUGCUGUGUGACUGAUAAAGGACUUAACAAAAGGACUAAUUGCGAGCUGUGAAACCAGAGUCUGCUGAUCAUACAUGGGUUGGUAAAUCCUUUUGUGGUAUAAGUCUGUAUUUCAUGGUAUGGUAUUUUCCAUUAUUUUGCUGAAUUGGUGCUGCAAAUAGGAUGAUGAGGUGUGUGAUUUGAUGCCAAAUUGUGUCUGCUACUAACUCACAAUUCUAAAGAAGUCGGCAGUCCAACCUUAUCUCUUGGUCUGUUAUAAAUUGCACCUCUGAACCUAGACUCUGGUUCUACAUUAUAUCUACAGUGCUACACUACUAAUUGUAGCUUUUUUUAAUAUUUAGAUUGGUCUUGGCAUGCAUGCACUACAAUGAGAACGUAGAUAGAAUCACAUCUGAAUAGCAUACAAUUUGAUGCCUUAACUUGUAUAGCAAGGUGUCUGUUCUGUGUGCGUGUUGUUUUUUUUGCCUUAGACUAUGUUGACACUUUACAACACCUCCUGGAGGACGUGGCUGUCAAUCCAAGUCCCUAUCAGGAAGAAAGGCCCUUUCUGUCAAGUAUGAGAGGCCUGAUCUUCAGGAAGCACAGGCAUUAAAUUGGCAAUGAAUAUUGUAAAUAAAUAA